rnacentral:rRNA from 1 species
GACGAACGCUGGCGGCGUGCCUAAUACAUGCAAGUAGAACGCUGAAGAGAGGAGCUUGCUCUUCUUGGAUGAGUUGCGAACGGGUGAGUAACGCGUUGGUAACCUGCCUGGUAGCGGGGGAUAACUAUUGGAAACGAUAGCUAAUACCGCAUAAAAUUGAUUAUUGCAUGAUAAUUAAUUGAAAGAUGCAACUGCAUCACUACCAGAUGGACCUGCGUUGUAUUAGCUAGUUGGUGAGGUAACGGCUCACCAAGGCGACGAUACAUAGCCGACCUGAGAGGGUGAUCGGCCACACUGGGACUGAGACACGGCCCAGACUCCUACGGGAGGCAGCAGUAGGGAAUCUUCGGCAAUGGGGGGAACCCUGACCGAGCAACGCCGCGUGAGUGAAGAAGGUUUUCGGAUCGUAAAGCUCUGUUGUAAGAGAAGAACGGGUGUGAGAGUGGAAAGUUCACACUGUGACGGUAUCUUACCAGAAAGGGACGGCUAACUACGUG